UGGUGGGCAGCGGUGUGUGCCUGUCCCCGGGGAAAGCGCUGCUCUGACAGCACUUAGCGUGGUGUAAAGCAAGAAAACGAUGUGGAAAUAAAGAAGAAUCACGAUAUGCGUUUGAACGAUCAGUUCCACCAAAAGAUCCACAGUAACAUCAAAAAGUUUAAGCCACAGGACUGUGAAUAAAAUGCUCCCGUCAGCAAUAACUAAAACACAGUAAGAGGCGCAUCCCCUCUCCACGCUGCUCCGAGUCUGCUCCAAAUACUUCAAAACAUAAUUCUGCAAUUGUAAACUACUGUAAAGUAGUUUACAGUGGUCCCCAUGUAAACUACUUUCUGAACAAGGCCCUGACUCAAUCAGCAAUCCACAUUGUCAGACAAAAACAAAGAGAAGGAGAAAGCACUUGGACAGCUUUUAACUUCAGUAUAGCCAUACCAAGAUUACAAAAUGCACACCUACCAAAAGAAGAAAAGCAAUGCUUCAGACAGCAUCGUAGAUUAUGAUGGACAUGAUAGUUUAGGGAGGUGAGGUGAAACAGGAUUGGUUCUGGUUUUGUGUGGAGACAUCCACAAUCAAUAAAUAAAAUUGUAUUCAAACAUUU